UACGUAGGGUCCGAGCGUUGUCCGGAAUUACUGGGCGUAAAGAGCUCGUAGGUGGUUUGUCGCGUUGUUCGUGAAAACUCACAGCUCAACUGUGGGCGUGCGGGCGAUACGGGCAGACUAGAGUACUGCAGGGGAGACUGGAAUUCCUGGUGUAGCGGUGGAAUGCGCAGAUAUCAGGAGGAACACCGGUGGCGAAGGCGGGUCUCUGGGCAGUAACUGACGCUGAGGAGCGAAAGCGUGGGGAGAGAACAGG
rnacentral:rRNA from 1 species